rnacentral:rRNA from 1 species
ACUCUAAGUGCACUUCACGCUUGGCAGGUCAGCGUCGAUUAUAGAUGUCAUAAAAUGAUUGGGGGAAGGUAGCUCUUUCGGGAGUGUUAUAACCCUUGGUAGACGUGAUGUCUGGGAUCGAGGAUUGCAACGGAUACCUUUUGGGCUAGCCGCCUGGUCUCUAACUGAUAUUGGGUUACGGACAGCA